rnacentral:lncRNA from 1 species
GUCAGAUGCCCUCCUUUUCCAGCAAUCCACCAUCCUCUUGGUAACUGACUGUCUAAAUCAUUCAUUGCAGGUACAUCCAGAGCACAUGCGCCACCUCUGGUGAGGGGCUGUAUGAGGGAUUGGACUGGCUCUCAAACAACAUUGCAAACAAGGUAUAGUCAUCCACUUUUCUUACUCAUAUGUGAUGAUUCAUGAUUUGGUGAACUUAAUGUGUUCAUCUGACUGCAGGCUUAGAUGACACAACUCCAAGUUCGCAAUCGCAGUGAGUGCUGGAAUACUCGGUCUAUAUUUGUUUUGUAUUCUGGAUUUUCCUCCAACUCAUUUUGUCGUCUUUACCUGUCUAAACAUGUUUGUGGUUGCUUUUGCAAACUCUGCCAUUUGUUUCCUGUAGCUUCAGAAUAUUCCGUAAAUUUUCGUUUUCUUGGUGAUUUUUAUUCAAAUAGCAAAGCCCAGUUCUCCUAAAGACGAGCCAUCCUUGACAUGGAGUCAGGGGUACCAUAGUGCCUGCCUACCAGGCUUUAGUGCGUAAACAAUCUCCUCCGAAUUGAACCAAAAAACUAUACAUGUAUAUUAUAUGUGGUGGUGUCCCUCGGACAUCUCACCGUAGGAGUUGGUCUAACGCUCGCUGCCACACAACCUGAACGGGGGAGAAGCUUUUGUAGGGGCACACAUUGCUACUACCAGACUUUUGUCUCCUAGUAGUCCCAGAAUUGGAAGGUCGUUGACCACUUUACCCUUACAAUGACACAUGCACAUAAGUUUAUAGCUCUAUAAGUAGCCUCUUAAAGUAAGACCAUAAUCUUAUUCUUGUUUAAUCCUAAAUAUUGUUAAACAACUAAAU